rnacentral:sRNA from 1 species
GAGCUUUCGUCCCGUGGGUGCGAAAGGUAACCGAAGCGGCUCAGGAAGGCAGCUGUCACUGAGCCCCUGGAACAGAGCGAGAGUAUCGUAGUGGGCAGCAGUCAGUGACAGGUGUAACCUCUGUGGAUGACAGCAACAGUUAUUGGAGGAUACGGGGGAAGAGUGCCACAGUGUGUGAGAGGGGAACCCCCAUCAAGUGUGGCCAGCCCAUCCGGCUGACACAUGUCAACACUGGCCGAAACCUCCAUAGUCACCACUUCACUUCACCUCUUUCUGGAAACCAGGAGAACAAUAUGGUCGACCUAUCAGUGGGCAAAAAGAGGUGCAUGGCAUGGCCCAGCCAAGUCAGAACAGCUACUGGAAAGCCAUGGAAGGCAUCUUCAUGAAGCCCAGUGAGUUGUUGAAGGCAGAAGCCCACCAUGCAGAGCUAUGAAUCUAGAGGCUCUGAGCCACUGUUAACACACAAUGUUCACAGACGUCUGUUGCUGCCUCACCUUGGGAUCCCUGCCACAAGUUCCUUGGGCAGUGGCCAUGUCACCAUUGAGAUGAAGAUAUACAACAGAAAAUAGUGGCUGUGUUUGGAAGCUUCAGCCCUGCACAUUUGAACUAGUCACUCUCCCAGACUUGCGUGGGUCAGUUCUUUCUGAGUAGAGGACUUGCUGGUAAAGGGGCAGAUGCUUU